GUGCUCACAUUGGCAGUACAUAUACUAGAACUGGAACAAUACACAGAUUACCAUGGCCCCUGUGCAAGCAUGAUCUAUAUAGCAGGGGCAAUGAUAGCAUAUCAU
ensembl:snRNA U6 U6 spliceosomal RNA